GAAGCCAAGCUCAUUGUCUUCACUGGGUGAGACGGUUACUCCAUCUUCUCAGUCUCCAUCAGAUGACUUUAAACAAUAUCAAGAGCUUAUGCACAGAUGGGUUCAGAGGUUUCCUGGAGAGGCGCAGAGUACCAUCCAAGAUCUGUUUCAAAGCAAUCAACCUAUUCUAUAAGAAGAUGGAUGAGUCUCUUCAAUUCCUCGAAGACUUGAGAACAACACUUCACUCGCUGAGCAUUUAUACCCCUGCCCCAAGAGAAACUACUAGAGACAAGGGUGUAGGGCAAGACCACCUCCUCAGCCAUUUAUCCACCAAUGUCCUCAAGAGCCACUAUGCAAGAGACAGUUUAUAGACCCAGUAACCCAGCCUCUGUAACAUCCACCGCCACAUCAUACUCUAACCCCCAAGUAAAGGCUUUGGUUUUUUUUACAGGACUGUCGAGACCUGCAUCCCUUUAUUGAUGCUAAUUCAUUCAUCUCCUCUGAUAUUCAGAGGUUGCCUUACUGGUUUGCCAAAAAUUGGAGGGCGCUAACUAUAGACAAAUGGGUAUUAAAAAUUAUUCAUGGCUA